GAUGAACGCUGGCGGCGUGCCUAAUACAUGCAAGUCGAGCGAACAGACGAGGCUCUUUCUCCUCUGUCGUUAGCAGCGGACGGGUGAGUCACACGUAACUAGCCUUUCUCUAUGACUGAGAUCACUUCGGCAAACCGUAGCUCAUAACAGGUGAUAUCAUCACCCGCAUGGUUUUAUAAUGAUAUAUGGUUUUUGUGUGACUUAUCGAUCUAUCCGCGCCGUAUUGGCUAGUUGGUUCGGUAACGCCUUACCAAGGAAACGACCCGUAGCCGACCUGAGAGGGUGAUCGGCGACACUGGAACUGAGACACGGUCCAGACUACUGAGAGAGGCAGCAGUAGGGAAUCGUACGCAAUGGGCGAAAGCCUGACGGAGCAACGCCGCGUGAGUGAUGAAGGUCUUCGGAUCGUAAAACUCUGUUAUUAGGGAAGAACAAAUGUGUAAGUAACUAAGGAGGUCGUGACGGUACCUAAACAGAAAGCCACGGCUAACUACGUG
rnacentral:rRNA from 1 species